CAUUCUGAAGUUUAGUGAAAGGUGGAUCAAAGUGGGAAUUCUAAAACAGUGGGUGAACAGGGGAGGUGAGAGUCCAUAGGAAAGAAGCCUGGACAUGAAAGACGACUUAAGCCAGGGGAGGAGAACUGAAGAAACGGGUCUGCAUUGUGCACCUGAGGGAGGAAGUGGUCAGGUCUGGCCUCCCGAGGAGCAGAGCAGAAAAGAUGAAAGUCAAGCCGAGUUGAGAUCUCAACCGUGUCCACAGCAACAGUAGCACCAUGGAACGUGUUGUCCAGGAAACAGGGGCGUGUCGGGGUGUUAUUGUUUGCACCGUUGAUCAGUGAGGCAUUGUGUAGUACACUUCAACUAGGAGAAGAAAAAAUACAUCAGAAAGAAGGGCCAGUCCGGGAGAAGGAAACACAUCCAAACUCCUUGCUCCCAAUCGUAUCGUCAGUUUGGUCCCAAGAACACCAGCAUGCUUGUCAACUCUCCCUGAAAGCUGCCGGUAAAGGAAAAUAUGCUGCAACUCCUGAAAGGGGCAAAUUAUUAGGAGAAUUUGGAAUUUGGGGCCCUUACAUACUAUGAGCUGACACGAGGGAAUGAACAAAGAAACAUGUCUACAUCACCCUCCUUGACUUUCCUGAUAUAAACCAUCUCUCUGGGCUGCCAUCUUGGAAAUGAGAGAAAUUGCACAUGGAUACUUUUGCUUUACAGGACUUACCCCUUCCCGCCUCGCUGUUUAUAACUUUUUCUUCUGUGUUCAGACAUUGCAAUUUUCAUAUAUCUGUUCAUUAAAUUAUUUAUUUAA